AAUAAAAAGAAAAAAGUUUUUUUAAAGGUUGAGGUGUGAGUAUCACUUGAGCCUAGGGAUUCUGGUUCACAGUGUGCUAUGCCAAUUAGGUUCCCACUAAUUGAAUGUUCAGCAUCAAUGUGGUGACCUCCCAGGAGUGGGAGACCACCAGGCUGCCUAAGGAGGGGUGAACCAGAGCAGGUCAAAACUCCUGCGAUGACCAGUAGUGAGAUGUGGCCUGUGAAUAGCUCCUGCACUCCAGCCUGGACAACAUAGCAAGAUCCUCUCUCU
rnacentral:SRP_RNA from 1 species